GUCGUCAUCGCGGAGCGUCUCACUUUGCCCACGCUCUUUGACGUCAUCGUGGGAGUGUUCCAUCGGAGAAAUGAACGGUCAUCAGCACAAUCCUGUAAGCGUCCAUGUAAGUUAACGUUCAAAUCUUUAAAUAAUGCACUCAGUGUCAUUACUAAACGACAAUAUAGUUAUGAAUUAGCAACCAGUUUAUUGUCGUAAACGUUUUCCGUCUUAAGAGAAUAGUAUCGGUUCUCAGUCUGUACAAAUGUUAAGAUUGCUCUCCAACUCAACCUGCUCUCACCCACUAACGUUAGCUGGCUAGUUGGUAGCAUUAGUCGUUUGCUACCCAGACCGGGCAGGGCGACAACCUGUACCAGCCAUCAUGCAAUCGUGACAAAUGUAUAAGAAUCCUCAUUCUCUAUGGGUACAUCACCUUUAAUGUUUGAUAUUACUGGUGAAUAUAUCAUGAUUCUGAUUCUGAAUUUGUUGACGCUAGCUAGAGAGCUUGCUGAGUAGAACGAGACUUCGAUGAUUACAUUUAACGUUAGCUUGCUACCUAGCUGUCCUCAUUAGCAUACCCUGCUUAGGACCAUAGACUUUGCUUAGGUUUCCUACCCAGCUAGCUAGCUAGCUAGCUUGCUAUCUGACCAAUGUGUAGUGCCCCACCAUAUCUCCCCUCUGUGAUGCUGGAGCUUUUCUCGUUUGACAGCCGGAUGCGAGUGACAUAAUCUUGUAACGUUAUUAUUAACACUGUUUCAUGAGUACACAUAUUAAUAUUGUAAUAUUAACAUCAAAUUGGGAGUUUGCAAUGUGCAGUAACAAUGCCGGCUAAGUUGACGAUUUAGGUUACUGAACAUUGUCGAUGGCCAACUUUUAGAGAUGGUUUUGGGCGUAAACGGCUCAAUCCCAGGCUAUCUUGCGGCCGUCAAGCUAGCUUGCUAGCUGGGUUGUUAGCUACGCGGUCAAUACAUUUAAACAUUAUGGGCAGACCUAGGAAUUUCACUAGAUCAGGCAUGCUAUAUUCAUAAACCUUCCCGGGAAGAGCUGACUGUCGGAAGAAACUACCUUGACACUUUUUAAGGACUAGGGGGGUUCAUGAGCAGGAGAGGUCGUUUUUGGACGUUGAAGCUGACCUCUUCUAUGUAGAAGACAAGAGCCAGCACACUGAUGACCGGGCCAGAAGCUGACCCUGAGCCUUGAGUCAGAAGAGGAGCGGCUGGACUGAUGGUAGGACGCACUCUUUGUCUGCUUUCCCUCUUUUUCUCACAUUGUUCUUCAUCUGUGGUGUUUGUAUGUUUUCUUUUUUCUUUUUUUUUGAAAUGUUAAAAAGAAGAAACAUUGUGUUUGGAGUGGUGACUUCCACCUGUUUGUUACUGUGGUUUUCACAAUGACAACUAAUGAACUGUGAUGAUAAGAAAUCAUUUUUUAUUGAUGACGAAUUAAAUCUGCACCCAGUUGACAUGCGUCUGGUUGAAUGAAAAGUCACAAAGCUGGCUGUUUCCAUGACUGACCAGAAUAGGAACAUUUCCCUUCUGGGGGCGCCCAGAGACUUUGGCCCGCAAACGACAGUGAAUGUAACCUUUGAUCAUGAGUUUUCACAAGCACAAAAGCCCAUUAGAUGCUUGCCCUCGCCUUUGUUUAGCUUUUUUUGAACCAUCAUUCACAUCCACUGACAUCCACAUCCAUGCUUUUCAAACAAUAGUUUAUUGCACAAAUAAUCUCUGAAAUGUUUAUUUCCAGAUUAGGAUGGCGAUUAUAAUAAUGAAGUUUUGAUCACAACCUUCUGACGGUGGUUUAGAUUGUGCAAUCUUGCAGAGAAGGGCUAAACCACUGCAUAGACACCAGAGCAUUUCAGAGAUUAUUGCAUAUUUGUAUCAUGCUUUAUCAUCCUCACUGGCUGUAGGUAGACUGUUGUAUGUACUUGUGAUAUAGCCUAGUAUGUCAUGAUGGGUUGGCUCCUGUGGACCUGAUGGGUUGGAAAGCAGAUCUUUUGUGUGUGCCAGUAAAAGUCAGGCAAUAUUACUACUCUUGACUGCCAGUUAUAUCACAUACAGAUGAAGUAGAUGUUGUGUUAGUCCCCGUGUGCCAAGAAGCUGCAGAUGAAUACCUCGUGGAUGAAGACAAAAAAAAUCCUGCAAUGCUUUUUUGGACAUUAGACAAAUUGUUCAAAAGGUCCUAAGCAGUUUGCCCUUAAUGUUCUUGUACCCAUGGAUUAAUAAAGGACUUGUAAUCGAUAAGGUUAAAGGCCUGUUCCUUUUAAGUGCCUCUGAAUAACAGGAUCCUUUAUAGUUCCUGUGUCUUUCCUGUUAAAAGCUCAAGUCCAGACGAACCCAGUCCUUCAUGUCUGUCAGCCAACCCCUAAUGCUGCCUUUAAGUGUUCUGUUAACUCAUCCUGCUGCUGCUACUGCUAUUGCUGCUGCUACUGCUAUUGCUGCUGCUACUGCUAUUGCUGCUGCU
ensembl:lncRNA